rnacentral:rRNA from 1 species
GAUGAACGCUGGCGGCGUGCCUAACACAUGCAAGUCGAGCGGCAGCGAGGGGUGCUUGCACCCUGUCGGCGAGCGGCGGACGGCUGAGUAACGCGUGGGAACGUGCCCCAAAGUGAGGAAUAACUGCCCGAAAGGGUAGCUAAUACCGCAUAUUAUCUUCGGAUCAAAGGAUUUAUCCGCUUUGGGAGCGGCUCGCGUCGGAUUAGGUAGUUGGUGAGGUAAUGGCUCACCAAGCCGACGAUCCGUAGCUGGUCUGAGAGGAUGACCAGCCAGACUGGAACUGAGACACGGUCCAGACUCCUACGGGAGGCAGCAGUGAGGAAUCCUCCACAAUGGGCGAAAGCCUGAUGGAGCAACGCCGCGUGCAGGACGAAGGCCUUCGGGUUGUAAACUGCUUUUAUAAGUGAGGAAUAUGACGGUAACUUAUGAAUAAGGAUCGGCUAACUACGUG